GAUGAACGCUAGCGGGAGGCUUAACACAUGCAAGUCGAGGGGCAGCAUAGGGUAGCAAUACUCUGAUGGCGACCGGCAAACGGGUGAGUAACGCGUAUGCAACCUACCCUGUACAGGGGGAUAACCCGGAGAAAUUCGGACUAAUAUCCCGUAAUAAUAUCCGGAGGCAUCUUUGGAUAUUUAAAGUUCCGACGGUACGGGAUGGGCAUGCGUAACAUUAGCUGGUUGGUAAGGUAACGGCUUACCAAGGCUAUGAUGUUUAGGGGUCCUGAGAGGGUGGUCCCCCACACUGGUACUGAGACACGGACCAGACUCCUACGGGAGGCAGCAGUGAGGAAUAUUGGUCAAUGGGCGCAAGCCUGAACCAGCCAUCCCGCGUGCAGGAAGACGGCCCUAUGGGUUGUAAACUGCUUUUCCAGGGAGAGAAACUUACGCACGUGUUGCGUGACUGACGGUACCCUGGGAAUAAGCAUCGGCUAACUCCGUGCCAGCAGCCGCGGUAAACACUA
rnacentral:rRNA from 1 species